rnacentral:rRNA from 1 species
UACGUAGGUGGCAAGCGUUGUCCGGAUUUACUGGGCGUAAAGAGCGCGCAGGCGGUCGGAUAAGUCGAAUGUGAAAGCCCCCGGCUCAACUGGGGAGGGUCAUUCGAUACUGUUCGACUCGAAGGCAGGAGAGGGAAGUGGAAUUCCCGGUGUAGUGGUGAAAUGCGUAGAUAUCUGGAGGAACACCGGUGGCGAAGGCGGCAUCCUGGACCGGCAUUGACGCUGAGGCGCGAAAGCCAGGGGAGCAAACGGG